rnacentral:lncRNA from 1 species
AGAUUUCAAACAAAACAAAGUAUUAUGACAAUUACUAUUUACAUCAUAGAUUUCAAAUGACAAUGAACUCUUAACUGUACAAACUAUAACAUCACAGCACAUAUUUUAUGUAUAAAACCCCUGAUAAGUAACGAGCUAUCCAAUCAAGUACCGCGUUUUAAAAGCAAGCGAUCAACGAAGCAUGUACAGAUAAACUUUUACCCGUAACAUUCCUUGGGGCUAAUUUUCACUACCGGACACAAUUUUAUGGCUCUUUAGCCUGUGUGUUGCUGUCAAAUCAUGCCAAUUGCGCUGGUGUAUAAAUUUGUUAAUUGAGGGGCCCAUAGUAAUAAAAUUCGUAACUAGCCAGCCAGCAUGGCAUACGUUCUUUUUAAAGACAUACAUAAUAUUGAGUGGUAUCCUACAGUGUCAUAUUUUUGUCAGAAGAAUGUGUAUAAUAGUGAGCAAAUCCACAAUGAUGCUAUGAUGGCUUUUUUCAUUUGUUUUGAGAUUUGCUUUUCCAGUUGAGUCUUGGUGUUAUAUUUUUGGUCCUUUGAGAUCAUGGAGGACAUUUAGUUUUCCUAUUAAAAAAACCGCUUAAGCAGGUGCUCCUUGGGCGUGAGGAAUGUGGCACAUUUCAUUAAGCCUCUUGAACAGACUCAAUAAAACCUAGUCUACAACUGUGUAGAUUGGUUGCAUUCUAUGCUUCGAAACAGGUUUUAUUUUAUUAAUUCAUCUACAGUAUUUUAAUUAGCCCAUUUAUUGUACAAACAAAAAAGUGAAUAUGUUUUCAUCUGGACUAGAAUAUCAAGUUAAAGAAAGAAAUAUUCGACAAUGAUAUUUCACUUUUUGGACAUCCCAUACAUAUAACUAUACAUAUUUUUCUGAUGAGUAAUUCUAUUAACAUUCAUUUUACUAUUUUUAGAUGAAAUUAUUAAUGACUAUACGCCUGAAGCUAUCUAGUUGGUAUCUUUUGGCUGUACGUCAACAUAAGGCUUCUUUGAUAGUGUACAAACAUAUCAAAUACAAAUAAAGUAUCUUGUGUUACGCAAAUAUGAUUUAAAGUUGCAUAUCUCUCUUUCUAGCUUCACUAUUGCCCUAUAGAUUUAAAGUGGUUAUUUAUCACUGCGUCUGUCUGUCUGAUUUUCAUGCUAAUUUCGUAGUUGUAUGACUUUCAAAUGAAAUGAUUGAUGUUAAAUUCUCUAUCUGACAAAAGCAAUAUCCCCAGGUUCUGAUAUGUAUUAAUCACUAGGAUAUCUCGACGUAAUAGAUAAAAUGCUAGUUUAUGUGCUAGUUAAUUUCAAAAAUCCUCUAUAAAUCCGGCACUGUAACGAUUUUUCUGCUCCUUCUUAUCUUGUACAUAAUUCAAUGAGAUUGUUCGAUCAGUUUUUCGAUUUUAACCGAAAUUUCUACAUUUCGUGUAUCAAUACAGAGGCUUAUCCCGGAGCAAAUAUCAUAUAUAUUUAAAUCAAUAUAAUUAUGUAAUCUUCUAAAUUAUAUAAAAUACAAUAUACUUCUGCAAGAAACAUAAUUAUGUUAACUUACUUUUACUUUUACUAGAUACACAGUAGAUUUGCGAUUUUACCGCAAUCUUGGACUCUGUUGUAGUUUGAAGUUUCAGUGUCCGACAAAUUUAUAAUCUUGCUGGUAGCCCACUGGGCUACCAGAUUUUUUUUGUAGUUGCCAAGAAAUUUAAACCCCGAAAGUAUAAACUUGCUCUAUCCGAACCCGACUUACUGAGAUGUGAGAAUCAAAGGGGUCUGUAACAAUGUUUGGUUAAUAAAUUUAAAAACAUCAAAAUAAACCUGUGUGUUAUAGUUCCUUCGUACGGUAAGCAGAUAUUAGAUGAACGGGUAUGGAUAGCCUUUUCGAUUCACUGGUUAUCUACAUGUUAACUUACUAUGAGUUAUUCUGUAAUAUUGACUUCAAACGACUUCGUUAAGCACAUAUAGCUCAACCAUUUUUACUGUGUCUUAAGAUUAUACUGGAUUCAUUUCCGAUGCAUUUGCAUAAUAUAAUGAAAAGGGAUUUAUUCUUUCCAGAUCUUUGCAUGAAACCACCAGGAUUUGGAAAUGUCCUAAUUAUUGCAUUCGCUACUUUUUUCAACCAGAGAGCGAUGUCUGCUGGAAAUAUGAUGACGAUUUUCAGAAGGUGUGGCGUGUAUCGGAGUUGGAGGUAAUAGGCACGUAGAAUGGGUUCCGGCAUACCUGAUCAAGUAUACGUCUGGAGAAGAUAAAGUUAGGCAAAUACGAAUACACCCAAACGAUUUUCGGCUUGAUUUGAAAAGUUCAAAAGGAAAACAACAGUGAAAACAUACUGUUUUAGUUCAUACAUGUAAAAAGGUUUCUUAACCUACGAAAUGCAAACUUUUAUUGAUAUAUCUGCUGUUUUAAGUUUUAUCCAAGUGAAGAUAUUUCGAUCAUCCUUUCUUUAUUUAAACUGUUUUUCGAACGCAUAAAAACAUUAUUCUUGAAAUGAAAUAAUAUAGUUUGCAUUUUAACUUUGUACAUGACUGAUGUUUCAGCUAUCUUUUUUCAAUCUACAGAUUAAAUAUCAAACAAAAAUACCCUUUCGUAAAAACUUGUCACCGAUCCGUUCAUAACGCCAGUAUUCAGCAUAACUGGGACUGAAAGAUCUGUGAACUAUAUAAACAGGUAUACCCGACCUGCUACGCGAAAAGGAACUUCCAACAUUUUCUAUUUAGAAAAAUUCUCUUUCGGAUUAUAUAUUGCAGUAGAUGGUUCUCAGUAUGCCAAUGCAUUCCAGUUGUUAGCACAGACAACAAAGCAAGAAAAAAAAGGCUCAAUAGGUUUCGAAAUGUUGGUCUGAAACAAAAAUCUUGUACAUUGUAAGUUUUACAUGAGAUAUAAAAAUGUAUUGAGAAAUCUAAAGACCUAGUCCCUUUUGAAACAGUAUGUCAUAUCGCAAGAGAUGUGCAUUCAACCUUCAAACACUGGCAAAUUGGUGUAUGUUCAGGACAUGCAUUUUUUUUAAUUAAACUAUUUCGAAUGCACGACAUCUUAUCUCGAGCGCUCGACAUCUUAUCUCGAGCGAUCGACAUCUUAUUUCGUGCGCACGACAUUUUACCUCGGACGCUCGACAUCUUAUCUCGUACGCACGACGUCUUAUCUCUAGCUGCCUGUUUUUAUCAGUAUGUGUUUUUAAAUUACUAACCCUAGUUUUACGAGUUAGUAAUUUAAAAACACAUACUGAUAAUAACUAACGCUAGUUUUACGAGUUAGUAAUUUAAAAACACAUACUGUUGUGGCAUAAAACUGCCACCACUUAAUUAUCAGGUUUCAUGAAAACUUUCACGAAAAUGAUUUAGGUUUUUACGUUAAUAAUGGAGGAUUAAGUGGCAUAAAACUGCCACCACUUAAUUAUCUGGUUUCAUGAAAACUUUCACGAAAAUGAUUUAGGUUUUCACGUUAAUAAUGGAGGAUUUCAUGAAAACAGUAAAUUAUCACAAAGGCCACUUAAAUAUCUUAACACGAAAUUAUGCUAGUUAG